rnacentral:rRNA from 1 species
UACGUAGGGAGCAAGCGUUAUCCGGAUUUACUGGGUGUAAAGGGCGCGUAGGCGGGACUGCAAGUCAGAUGUGAAAUCUGGGGGCUCAACCCCCAAACUGCAUUUGAAACUGUGGUUCUUGAGUGAUGGAGAGGCAAGUGGAAUUCCUAGUGUAGCGGUGAAAUGCGUAGAUAUUAGGAGGAACACCAGUGGCGAAGGCGACUUGCUGGACAUUAACUGACGCUGAGGCGCGAAAGCGUGGGGAGCAAAC